rnacentral:rRNA from 1 species
UGCAAGCGUUAAUCGGAAUUACUGGGCGUAAAGCGAGCGUAGGUGGCUUGAUAAGUCAGAUGUGAAAGCCCCGGGCUUAACCUGGGAACGGCAUCUGAUACUGUUAGGCUAGAGUAGGUGAGAGGAAGGUAGAAUUCCAGGUGUAGCGGUGAAAUGCGUAGAGAUCUGGAGGAAUACCGAUGGCGAAGGCAGCCUUCUGGCAUCAUACUGACACUGAGGUUCGAAAGCGUGGGUAGCAAACAGGAUUAGAUACCCUGGUAGUCCACGCCGUAAACGAUGUCUACUAGUCGUUGGGUCCCUUGAGGACUUAGUGACGCAGCUAACGCAAUAAGUAGACCGCCUGGGGAGUACGGCCGCAAGGUUAAAACUCAAAUGAAUUGACGGGGGCCCGCACAAGCGGUGGAGCAUGUGGUUUAAUUCGAUGCAACGCGAAGAACCUUACCUGGUCUUGACAUAUCUAGAAUCCUGCAGAGAUGCGGGAGUGCCUUCGGGAAUUAGAAUACAGGUGCUGCAUGGCUGUCGUCAGCUCGUGUCGUGAGAUGUUGGGUUAAGUCCCGCAACGAGCGCAACCCUUGUCCUUAGUUACCAGCGGUUUGGCCGGGAACUCUAAUGAUACUGCCAGUGACAAACUGGAGGAAGGCGGGGGACGACGUCUAGUCAUCAUGGCCCUUACGACCAGGGGUACACACGUGCUACAAUGGUAGGUGCAGAGGGCAGCUACACAGCGAUGUGAUGCGAAUCUCAAAAAGCCUAUCGUAGUCCAGAUUGGAGUCUGCAACUCGACUCCAUGAAGUAGGAAUCGCUAGUAAUCGCGGAUCAGAAUGCCGCGGUGAAUACGUUCCCGGGCCUUGUACACACCGCCCGUCACACCAUGGGAGUUGAUUGCACCAGAAGUGGUUAGCCUAACCUUUUAGGAAGGCGAUCACCACGGUGUGGUUGAUGACUGGGGUGAAGUCGUAACAAGGUAACCGAAUCCCGCGCCCAUG